rnacentral:rRNA from 1 species
UACGAAGGGGGCUAGCGUUGCUCGGAAUCACUGGGCGUAAAGGGUGCAUAGGCGGGUCUUUAAGUCAGGGGGGAAAUCCUGGAGCUCAACUCCAGAACUGCCUUUGAUACUGAGGAUCUUGAGUACGGGAGAGGUGAGUGGAACUGCGAGUGUAGAGGUGAAAUUCGUAGAUAUUCGCAAGAACACCAGUGGCGAAGGCGGCUCACUGGCCCGUUACUGACGCUGAGGCACGAAAGCGUGGGGAGCAAACAGG